UAUGUUAUUAGUCCCUAUAAAUAUUUCAAUUUUGACUUUUAGUCUCUAUUAAAAAUAUUGAUUUUUAGUUUCUAUAGAAUUACUUUUACACGCAACUUUAGUCUCUGUAAAGAAUUAAAACCGCGUACAAAAAUAAUUUUAUAAAAAUUAAAAAUUAAUAUUUUUUUAUAAGGAUUAAAAGUCAAAUGUGAUAAUUUUAUAAUAUUUAAUCUUUCAUUAAUUAUGAUUUUCCCACAUGACUAAGUUAUAUCCAUAUUAUUUAGGAUGAAAGACUAAGAUAUCUUUUCUUAAUUGUGUGGGGAAAUCUAAGGCACACGUAAAUUUUGGCCUAGGAAAUAUCUUACUAAAUUUUUAAUCAGUUGAGUUAUGGUAAAAGUCUCUCAAGCGUGAGAAGGUAACAAUGAAUUAUAGGGUGAAUUAAAAUAAUUAUUUUCUAUUAUUUCUACUAUCUCUCUCUAACAAUUUUGUUAAAACUUAUUUUUAUAUUAAACCAACGAUUAAAAAUGUUAAAAAUAAUUUCAACACAAUUCAAACCAUUUUUGGUCACAUCUUUAAUAUGUAUCAUCAUUUAUUCUCUCCAUCUCGAAGGAGAAACAAUUCUUAUAUGGACACAACCAUAUACAUAGAUUUACACACAACCAAUUAUAUUUUUUAUUAAUUAAAAAACUAAAAUAAAAUUAUUUCUCUCUAUUAAACUAACCACCCUCUAUGAUAGUAAUUAAAAACGGAAAUAAUUUUUUUUAAUAAAUAUCAAUUUUCUCACUUUUAAUUAGUUAUGCCUAAAAAUAUGGAUUUAGGUUCGUAUCCAUGCAAGUAUUUUUCAUUGAAGAAGUGUGUUGAAAUUUUAAUAUAAUAUGAUUAAUUAGGAUCCUUGGAAAUUAUGAAGGUAUUGCAAUCUAAUUUUAAUUAUACCUCUCAAAAUUUGCUUGUUUCAAACGUUUCGUUUAUAAUAAAGAUGUUUAUAUUCUGAAGUAAGAAAAAACUCAAGUUCAACCUUUGGUGCAUGUGUAGUAAAUUAUGUAAUUUUAAAAUAGAACAAACAAUUUCUUGUGCGUGUGAAAAUAUAGAAAUUAAGAGUUUAAUUAUAACAAGGAAUAAGAGAGAAACUUGAAAUAAUGUAUUCCUGAAAUAUUAGAAUGAAUUCUAACAACCAUCAAGAGACAUUUGAAGAAAUGUAAUUUUUCACAGUAUAAAAUAAAUAUAUAAAUGUAUACUUCAAAAUGCAUAAGAUCAGAGAACAUAUGGCACAAAUUCUUAAGUUUGUUAGUGUCAUAAUUAUUUUUCUUUUCGAAUUCGUUGUUGUAAUGGAUGGUAUCAUUGUAACAGAUGGAGCUGUUAAAUGCUGGUCUGAUGGAGAAUGUCGUAAAGCAAUGCCGGAUUGCACUCUUCCUAAACGUCCAAGGUGUAUAUCAGGGAUAUGUCAUUGUGUGUCAUAGUAGGAAUAAAGUUCAAAAAUAAUUUCAUGUAUUUGCAACUCUAAUAUUGAUGCUUUUUAAUUCUCUCAAAGUUCAAUCUAUUUCUAUUUUAUCUGAACCUUAAAAUAAA